rnacentral:rRNA from 1 species
AAUAUUGGACAAUGGGCGAAAGCCUGAUCCAGCCAUGCCGCGUGUGUGAAGAAGGUCUUCGGAUCGUAAAGCAUUUCAUGUCGGGAGGAAGGGCAGUAAGUUAAUACCUUGCUGUUUUGACUGUACCGACCUAAUAAACACCCGCCAACUUAGUGCCAGCAGCCGGGGUAAGACGAAGGGUGCAAGCGUUAAUCGGAAUUACUGGGCGUAAAGCGCGCGUAGGUGGUUUGUUAAGUUAGAAGUGAAAGCCCCGGGCUCAACCUGGGAACUGCUUCCAAAACUGGCAAACUAGAGUAUGGCAGAGGGUGGUGGAAUUUCCUGUGUAGCGGUGAAAUGCGUAGAUAUAGGAAGGAACACCAGUGGCGAAGGCGACCACCUGGGCUAAUACUGACACUGAGGUGCGAAAGCGUGGGGAGCAAAC